rnacentral:lncRNA from 1 species
UUGCUCCAACACAAACUCAAUUACGAACACCACAUCUUUGAAGGUUGCAGGGAUAUAGGACUUGGCCAGAUUUGGUGUUUUGAGUGUUAUGACUUGUCCCGUGUCAUAAAAUCCAACUUCUUUGGGAAUUUUCGUCUCAAGUGUAUCUUCUUUGAUGAAUUCUAGACAUUCCCUAUCCACUUCUUGCUCUUGAUUCGUUGGAAAGGUCUCGAAGAUGCCUUUCUCACCCUCUUCUUCCUUAGAUUGCAUGAUCCUGCAAGGAAUAAGGACAUUUGGUGAAACGGGGUCAGGACAAAUUGAAUUUAGGCUUACCUUGGUUGUAGUGGACGACAUAGAUGGCAUAUGGGGCUACGACAAGGGUGGUUCUUUCCUUGCCGUGGCCUUGUUACUCUCCUCCUCUUCGAGCAGCAGCUGUUCAUCCAUGUUUUGGCUUGGUUUGGAUGUCUUGGGUUCACCUCCAACCUCCAUAGCACUUCCCAAAGUGAUAGCAUCAUGGAUUUCAAAAUCUUUCUUCAAAUUUUCAACAAUUAAGUUGGAGAAUUCACUUUGCUCUUGAAUUUGUGCCGUGAACUCCAUAAUUUGCCCAAAUUGCUUUUCCAAUUCGCCCGUCUUCUUGGCUUGAUUUUUCACCUCUUUGUUUCGGUUUUCUACAUCCUGGUUCAAAGAGGUGAGUAACUUAUUAAACAUAUCAUUAUCCAAAGAUGUACCUGAAUUGAAUUGGGCAGAUUGUUGUGGUGGCUGUGAUGGUUCAUAUGGCCAGUGAUAGAACUCCUCUUCUUGCUACCAAUAUCCAUCUUGUUGGAAUUGUUGCGGUUCUCCACACAUGUAAUCUAAAUAAUCUCUCCAAUCCGAAUUGUAAGCGUUGGAAAACAUGUUGUCCCCUGAUUGGCUAUGGCCUUGAUAACCCCAAGCAUCUUCAUUCGCAGCGAAUUGAGAACAUUAAUGAGUUGGAUAUCCUUGCCCAUAGGACACACCAUCUGUAGGGACACUUUUCAUUGUGGUCCUUUCAGCAUAUUGUGACAAUUGAGAAGUAAGUUUCGCCAAUUGAGCUUGAAUGGUAGCAAAAUCCAUGUCUUACUUCUCUAGUACUUGAAAUCAAGAAAACAAAACUAAAUCAAAUAUCAUAAGUAAAAAUAAAAGACACAAAUAGAAACAAAGUCAGUAACUAAAACAAAAAAACAUGAAAAAGAAACAACGGGGGAUUAGCAAAGUUGCUAAUCCCCGGCAACGGCGCCAAAAUUUGAUGCGAAAAUUAUCUUAACACAUAAAUUAAACCCUCUUGUUGUAAAUUUUAGUAAAGAAUGUAAGUAGGGAUAGUUCUAGGCCGGGGAUUAGGAGGGAUUGCUAAAACACUUGAAACUGACUUAAAAAUGUAAAAUUAAGUUUAAAACACUAAACUAGACUCAAAGAAUUCAAAACAAACUCAAAGAACUCAAAACAAGCUAAAAACACUCAAAUCUGCCUAAAAACACAAACUGGGCAGAUUUGGACUCUAAACACACUUUUGGAAGAAUUUUGGUUUCAACUUGGUUCGAAAUACUUAAAAGCACAAACUAAAUCAGUUUCUAACUAAUAUGACUUAACAAGGUAAAGGGGGUUUUGGUUUUGAUGAAUUUGAAAACAAAACAAGUAAAUUAAAGAACAAAUGAAAUCUGCACGAAUUUGAGUAAAUUGAAUGGAUGGAAGGCUAGCUAGGAGGUUCUUCUCCACACAUGACACACUUGCAAACAAAACGAUUUCCAAUUGCUUUUCAAUAAACUAUGAAUUCUCAAUGCCCCAAAUUAACUGUGAAUUGCACUAAUUAACCCUCAAAUUUUCCUAAUUUCAUUGAAUUGGAUGAUUGCAUACAACAACCCAAAGCAUUCCCCACAAGUCCCCUACAUGAAUUGCAUAAUAGAGAUACAAGCAAGAAUCAUUAAGUUCUAUGAAAAUCAUAAGCAUUGACCAAACACUUGUAACUAUGAAUUGCAUGAAACUUAUGCCAAGAAUUUACUUAACACGGUUGUGACGAGCAACCUUCACUACUUGUGAAUAUAAGUUCAUAACGAUUAGGUGAAGCUCCCUUAUAUCCUAGCAUCAGUUUUAUGCAUGAAAAUUAAGCGUGCACUCUCAACCAACAUACACAAAUCAGUUUUAAUU